rnacentral:rRNA from 1 species
GCUGGCGGCGUGCUUAACACAUGCAAGUCGAGCGAUGAAGCACCUUCGGGUGUGAAUUAGCGGCGAACGGGUGAGGAACACGUGAGAAAUCUGCCUUCAACACUGGGAUAACUCCGGGAAACCGGGGCUAAUACCGGAUAUGAAACCUGCGGGCAUCCGCGGGUUUGGAAAGUUUUUCGGUUGAAGAUGAUCUCGCGGCCUAUCAGCUUGUUGGUGAGGUAAUGGCUCACCAAGGCGACGACGGGUAGCCGGCCUGAGAGGGCGACCGGCCACACUGGGACUGAGACACGGCCCAGACUCCUACGGGAGGCAGCAGUGGGGAAUAUUGGGCAAUGGAGGAAACUCUGACCCAGCGACGCCGCGUGCGGGAUGAAGGCCUUCGGGUUGUAAACCGCUUUCAGCAGGGAAGAAGCGAAAGUGACGGUACCUGCAGAAGAAGCACCGGCUAACUAUGUG